CCCUUAGAUGUUCUGGGCCGCACGCGCGCUACACUGAUGCAUUCAACGAGUCUAAAACCUGGUCUGAGAGGGCUGGGUAAUCUUUUGAAAGUGCAUCGUGAUUGGGAUAGAUGAUUGCAAUUCUUCAUCUUCAACGAGGAAUGCCUAGUAAACGCAAGUCAUCAGCUUGCAUUGAUUACGUCCCUGCCCUUUGUACACACCGCCCGUCGCUCCUACCGAUUGAACGAUCCGAUGAAAACUGUGGAUUGAGAGUCUGAGUGGGUUCGCCUACCUCAACUUUCGAGAAGCGGUUUAAAUCUUAUCAUUUAGAGGAAGGAGAAGUCGUAACA
rnacentral:rRNA from 1 species